rfam:Stegodyphus mimosarum contig13867, whole genome shotgun sequence.
GCCUUCGUGGUGUAGUGGCCAGCACGCUCAACGGGUAACCGAUAGGUCCGGGGUUCAAUUCCCGGCGAAGGCA